ACGAACGCUGGCGGCGUGCUUAACACAUGCAAGUCGAACGGAAAGGCCCUGCUUUUGUGGGGUGCUCGAGUGGCGAACGGGUGAGUAACACGUGAGUAACCUGCCCUUGACUUUGGGAUAACUUCAGGAAACUGGGGCUAAUACCGGAUAGGAGCUCCUGCUGCAUGGUGGGGGUUGGAAAGUUUCGGCGGUUGGGGAUGGACUCGCGGCUUAUCAGCUUGUUGGUGGGGUAGUGGCUUACCAAGGCUUUGACGGGUAGCCGGCCUGAGAGGGUGACCGGCCACAUUGGGACUGAGAUACGGCCCAGACUCCCACGGGAGGCAGCAGUGGGGAAUAUUGCACAAUGGGCGGAAGCCUGAUGCAGCAACGCCGCGUGCGGGAUGACGGCCUUCGGGUUGUAAACCGCUUUCGCCUGUGACGAAGCGUGAGUGACGGUAAUGGGUAAAGAAGCACCGGCUAACUACGUG
rnacentral:rRNA from 1 species